ACUCCAUGUUGAGGGCAACUUGCACACAGUUGCUUGAAACGUUCCCAUUACUCAUAGAGAGUCUCUAUGUCUCUUUGUUUGAUGCCACAUAUUUCCCUUCUAAUGCU